AGUCCUGCCAAAAAUAUACAUUAUAUACAUUUACCCUGCUUCAGGAGCAACUUUAUGAUAUAAUAGGGUGGGAUAUUGCGGAGCCAUUAGCUGGUUCGCCCUAACCCAAAGUGAUAUUAGACACUUUUUGUGUUACAUCAGUUGGUAAAGCCAUAGUGCCUGGUAGUGGACACCAAUAAUGUUGAGUCACACCUAUAAGCUCAGAACAUGAACUGUUUGCGGAGUAAAAUGUGGAUGAUGAUGAGUUAGUUGGAGAACAAACACAAACAAACAUUCAGACUCCAACUUUCACAAAAUCAAGCCAACAAACAAGGUGACGCCCUAGUAGAAGGUUGUUCAUAGUUACUUUUUAAUUAGCUGGCUGAAAAAUUGAGCAACAUAUAGCAACAAUGCUUUGAAAGCUUUGUAGGCAAAUAGAGGCCAAGCAUGCAUGAGCAA